CGUAGGGUGCAAGCGUUGUCCGGAAUUAUUGGGCGUAAAGAGCUCGUAGGCGGUCUGUCGCGUCGGCUGUGAAAACUCGGGGCUCAACCCCGAGCCUGCAGUCGAUACGGGCAGACUAGAGUGCUGUAGGGGAGACUGGAAUUCCUGGUGUAGCGGUGAAAUGCGCAGAUAUCAGGAGGAACACCGGUGGCGAAGGCGGGUCUCUGGGCAGUAACUGACGCUGAGGAGCGAAAGCGUGGGGAGCGAACAGG
rnacentral:rRNA from 1 species